rnacentral:rRNA from 1 species
AACGAACGCUGGCGGCAGGCUUAACACAUGCAAGUCGAACGCCCCGCUAGGGGCGUGGCUGACAGGUGGGUAAGGCGUGGGAACAUACCCUUUUCUUCGUACUAGCUCUGUGAGACUGGCAUUAAUACCUUAUACGCGUUUCGGGGGAAAGAUUUAUCGGGCAGGGAUUGGCCCGCGUCGGAUUAGCUAGUUGGUGGGGUAAAGGCCUACCAAGGCGACGAUCCAUAGCUGGUCUGAGAGGAUGAUCAGCCACAUUGGGACUGAGACACGGCCCAAACUCCUACGGGAGGCAGCAGUGGGGAAUAUUGGACAAUGGGCGCAAGCCUGAUCCAGCCAUGCCGCGUGAGUGAUGAAGGCCCUAGGGUUGUAAAGCUCUUUCACCGGUGACGAUAAUGACGGUAGUCGGAGAAGAAGCCCCGGCUAACUUCGUG